rnacentral:misc_RNA from 1 species
UUGAUUGAUUCAAAUAUUUACUCGGACGCAAAGAUGCAGGGUUAUAUUCCGCCGGGGGCCCCAUGACGCCCGAAGGCCGGGUCGCCCCCGAGGCAACAGAGUCGGAUGACAAAGGGUUGGAGGUCGGACCUGACGGCCCUCACUCGGUAAUGAUCCCUCCGCAGGUUCACCUACGGAGA